rnacentral:lncRNA from 1 species
GCCGCCGGCUCAGCGGGUCACGCGGCCCGGCCUCGCGCCGCCCCCAACCGUCACCCCGCCGCCCCCAACCGUCGCCGCCCGCCCGCGGGGCUGCAGCGUCCCCGGGGCUGCGCGGAGGGCGCUUCCCUCCCCCGCAUCCCUAGCAAGGGGGGGGAAGGGCCGGACGGGGGGGGUGUCCGGCGGGGAUCAGGUGCUGGCUGCGGAUCCCCGUGCCUGCUAAAUCCCUCUGCCUGAGGGGAGGCAGGUGGGAGCCUCCUGCUGCUGGCCUUGGGGGAAACGGUCAUCCAGCCCCUGCCCCGUUGAACCUCCCGAAAGGAUUUAUCCCCGCUGGCGGGCCCCACGGCCUUGCCGUGACGAAGCCCAGCCUGUGGCUAUUUCUAACCUACAAAUACGGAAAUUUUUCUCUCCAGAAGAGACCACAGCUCACGGCUAGCGAAUCUGUCUCCCUCUGCGCUCUCCUGCUGCUUGUUAGCUUGGAUUGAGCACUGUCCACAGAACUUCUCAUCAGCUCCCAGUACAGGCAGAGUGAAUUUGGAUCUCUCUGAAGAACCAGCCCAGAUUCAGGAUAUGUUUUUCUUCGUCCGAGUAAUAGUCAGGUCUUCAAGAUCAUUUUGUCGUUGUGUUGCUGCAACCAGUGCAGAUCCAAAUGCUGUGGCUACAAAGGCUUGUUACUUUCUUGCGCUGAAUCCUGCGAAUCCAAGAGCUACUUGGCAGUUUCCAAGGCAACCACCUGUGGAAUAA